UCCACUCUUACCAUGCACGUACAUCUCCAAAACAAACCACAAUCCUCGCUCUCUGAGCUGUUCCAUGCCACCUAGCUCUCUUCUUUCCUCCCUUCACGAGCUUAUUUAAAGUCCUCCCUCUUUAAUAUCAACUAUAUAUAAUCACAACAUCUCCUACAAACAAACAUACCACCCAACAUGUCUACUACAAUUUACAUGCAUUACAUUGCCCACAUUUAUAUUCUCCUCUUCUUGUUUCCUCUACACGAGUCCAUGGCUGCCCGGGCUCUCCCGUCGAGUGGCCCGAGCACGACGAUGGCGCCCUUGGCCACGAAAGCCCGGGAGUAUGCUAUAAUGAAGAUGAAGCCGAUGUUGGAUCAGGAAGGGAGGGUUUUCCAUGGGAAGCAAGUGAAAGCAUGCAUGCCUAAAGGGCGGAGACAUUCGUCGGCUCCGAGUCGAUAUGUUAAUUUUCAUACUUUUGAUGGAUUGUUGGGGUGUGAAUCUAGCCGCAAGUCUAAGAUUGUUCCUUGAUAAGGAGAUGUGCUCAAUGAGAGAUAACUAGGAUGGUUCUGAAAUUUAGUUUCAUAAUUUAUUGAAGCUAGCUAGGUAGAUGAAAGUAUUGAUUAGUUUUGCGAAUUUGGUAUUUGUAUUAGCACCAUCUUUUUGGUACGGCUUUCAUGUCUUUUUUAUGUAGUUGUUGUAUGGAUAUAGUGAAUCCAGUGGUGGUGAUUAAUCGGAAUUUGUACAAAUUAAGUCCAUUGACCAUUGCGUAUGUAUCUUAUUUCAUUUUGCAGCAUAGCUAGCACGCAGAGUGACG
rnacentral:lncRNA from 1 species